rnacentral:tRNA from 1 species
GUAUCGGUGGCCGAGCGACUAGGCAGGCGGUUGCAACCCGUCGUAGGGGAGUUUGACUCUCUCCCGAUACUCCA